AUCCGGCUGACGAGUCCCAAAUAGGACGAAGCACGCAUCCUGGAU
rfam:Schistosoma haematobium scaffold1305_9, whole genome shotgun sequence.